rnacentral:rRNA from 1 species
ACAGGAUUAGAUACCCUGGUAGUCCACGCUGUAAACGAUGUCGACUUGGAGGUUGUGCCCUUGAGGUGUGGCUUCCGGAGCUAACGCGUUAAGUCGACCGCCUGGGGAGUACGGCCGCAAGGUUAAAACUCAAAUGAAUUGACGGGGGCCCGCACAAGCGGUGGAGCAUGUGGUUUAAUUCGAUGCAACGCGAAGAACCUUACCUGGUCUUGACAUCCACGGAAGUUUUCAGAGAUGAGAAUGUGCCUUCGGGAACCGUGAGACAGGUGCUGCAUGGCUGUCGUCAGCUCGUGUUGUGAAAUGUUGGGUUAAGUCCCGCAACGAGCGCAACCCUUAUCCUUUGUUGCCAGCGGUCCGGCCGGGAACUCAAAGGAGACUGCCAGUGAUAAACUGGAGGAAGGUGGGGAUGACGUCAAGUCAUCAUGGCCCUUACGACCAGGGCUACACACGUGCUACAAUGGCGCAUACAAAGAGAAGCGACCUCGCGAGAGCAAGCGGACCUCAUAAAGUGCGUCGUAGUCCGGAUUGGAGUCUGCAACUCGACUCCAUGAAGUCGGAAUCGCUAGUAAUCGUGGAUCAGAAUGCCACGGUGAAUACGUUCCCGGGCCUUGUACACACC